rnacentral:rRNA from 1 species
ACCUUUUGUAUAAUGGGUCAGCGACUUAUAUUCUGUAGCAAGGUUAACCGAAUAGGGGAGCCGGAGGGAAACCGAGUCUUAAUUGGGCGUUAAGUUGCAGGGUAUAGACCCGAAACCCGGUGAUCUAGCCAUGGGCAGGUUGAAGGUUGGGUAACACUAACUGGAGGACCGAACCGACUAAUGUUGAAAAAUUAGCGGAUGACCUGUGGCUGGGGGUGAAAGGCCAAUCAAACCGGGAGAUAGCUGGUUCUCCCCGAAAGCUAUUUAGGUAGCGCCUCGUGAAUUCAUCUCCGGGGGUAGAGCACUGUUUCGGCUAGGGGGCCAUCCCGGCUUACCAACCCGAUGCAAACUGCGAAUACCGGAGAAUGUUAUCACGGGAGACACACGGCGGGUGCUAACGUCCGUCGUGAAGAGGGAAACAACCCAGACCGCCAGCUAAGGUCCCAAAGUCAUGGUUAAGUGGGAAACGAUGUGGGAAGGCCCAGACAGCCAGGAUGUUGGCUUAGAAGCAGCCAUCAUUUAAAGAAAGCGUAAUAGCUCACUGGUCGAGUCGGCCUGCGCGGAAGAUGUAACGGGGCUAAACCAUGCACCGAAGCUGCGGCAGCGACACUGUGUGUUGUUGGGUAGGGGAGCGUUCUGUAAGCCUGUGAAGGUGUGUCGUGAGGC